AUGAUUCCAUGGCUGAAUUUGGUGCCCUUGUUAGCGCUCAUUGAAGGAGUCCGAUCUCAAGUCCAGUUGGUGGAGUCUGGAGGGGAUGUGAGAAGACCUGGGGAAUCCCUCCGUCUCUCCUGCCAGGCCUCUGGAUUCACCUUCAGCAGCUCUUACAUGAAUUGGGUGAGACAGGCUCCAGGGAAAGGACUGGAGUGGGUGUCCCGCAUAAAUGCAGGCUCAUCUCCUAAGACUUACUACCCAGACAAAGUCAAGGGACGCUUCACAAUCUCCAGGGAUGAUUCUCCCAGACAGCUGUAUCUGCAAAUGAACAGCCUCAAACUAGAGGAUUCUGCAGUUUAUUACUGUGCAAGACACACAGUGAGAGGAAGUGAAGCAAAAACUAUUUUUUUCCUCUGA